AUGAAAGGGAUGGACAUGGUGCGUUUCAGGGAGACAGCUAGGGUUCAAUUGGUUGUGACUCUCCAGCUUCUUCGAACAUCUUUCACUCUCUCUUCGAACGGUGCUCCGCUCCUUGUUUCGAUUCACUGCCGUGGCGAAUGGUUCGUCAUUUUCAUAAAGAGCUCAUCCCGUUUUUAUCUAAACCCUCGCCGUUGCGGCUAUCACCCCUCUCUGAUUGAAAUCGUAAUGUCUCCGUCCAUCGUGAUCGUCUGA